UUUCCACUUCCCGUCUCCUCAGACAUGACCUGGGCUUUCAGGGAGGGCUGGAGAAAGUGAGAGAAAGCAAUGCUGUAGGAUGCGGCCAGCGGAUGAAGUCACAACUCAAGACCCGGGUGGCAGGAGCUGGGGCAGAGAGCUGUUCUGGCAGCGGGUGGCAGAGGCGGAGACAAGCCAGAGAAGACUCCGUGUGGGAGGAAGAGUGCAGCUGAGAGGGCUUGUCGGGUCUCUUGCACCCACUCUCUGCCUGUGACCUGAGAUCAAUUCUGAGGCUAUACCACACUACCUUGGGGAUCUCCAAUCAGAGCAGCUCGGAGAAGGACCCAGCCUCUGUGACUCAAAGUCAGAAGUGGAUCAGGAGGCUUGCAUAGCCUUCUGCUUCCUCAGGAAGGAUGGGGAGGGGCUGAGGAAGGAAGAUCUCUCCUCAUGUCUUCUCUGAAGCUGAUAAAGGCAACUGUGUCAACGCAGGCUAUAAUUUCCAAACAGACAAGGCUGCCUGGCUGCCUGGUGGAGGGGGAUGGUAUGAACCACGGAAGAAGGAGA